rnacentral:rRNA from 1 species
ACUGCUCAGUAACACGUGGACAACCUGCCCUUAGGUUGGGUAUAAACCCGGGAAACUGGGUAUAAUACCCGAUAGGUCUCGAUUGUUGGAAUGCAUCGAGAUUUAAAGCUCCGGCGCCUAAGGAUGGGUCUGCGGCCUAUCAGGUAGUAGUGGGUGUAGCGUACCUACUAGCCUACGACGGGUACGGGUUGUGAGAGCAAGAGCCCGGAGAUGGAUUCUGAGACACGAAUCCAGGCCCUACGGGGUGCAGCAGGCGCGAAAACUUUACAAUGCUGGCAACAGCGAUAAGGGAACCUCGAGUGCCAGGUUACAAAUCUGGCUGUCGUGAUGCCUAAAAAGCAUUGCAUAGCAAGGGCCGGGCAAGACCGGUGCCAGCCGCCGCGGUAACACCGGCGGCUCGAGUGGUAACCGUUAUUAUUGGGUCUAAAGGGUCUGUAGCCGGCCGGAUAAGUCUCUUGAGAAAUCUGGCAGCUUAACUGUCAGGCUUUCAGGAGAUACUGUCUGGCUCGAGGCCGGGAGAGGUGAGAGGUACUUCAGGGGUAGGGGUGAAAUCUUGUAAUCCUUGAAGGACCACCAGUGGCGAAGGCGUCUCACCAGAACGGACCUGACGGCAAGGGACGAAAGCUAGGGGCACGAACCGGAUUAGAUACCCGGGUAGUCCUAGCCGUAAACGAUACUCGCUAGGUGUCGGCCACGGUGCGACCGUUGUCGGUGCCGUAGGGAAGCCGUGAAGCGAGCCACCUGGGAAGUACGGCCGCAAGGCUGAAACUUAAAGGAAUUGGCGGGGGAGCAC